GCGCACACGCAGGCGCGCACAUACACACACAGACCCCGCCGGUUACACGGCGAGGGAGGGACGGACGGACACGCGGGGACAGACAGAGGCACCCAGGGACACGCACGCCGGCACCCACACGCCUAGGCAGACCCCCGACGAGGAUCGGACACCGCCAGCUCCGACCAGUGCCCCGAUGCUGGAGGCAGGAGCCCUCGGUGCUGUGCCUGCCCCCGCUGCAGGCUCUCCAGCUGACCUUGAGCGAGGCUCUCCGUGCCUGUGACUCGCAGACCUCCGUUUAUAAAUGCCACUGCCGAGAUGCAAGCACGGCAGUGGCAUCUGGCCGCUCACAGAUGGAGGCAACCUGUCACACACUGAACCGCAGCUGGGGAAAAACACAGAUCUGUGGCCCUCAAUAUCAAAGUCAGUAUAAUUUUCAUAACCAUUUUGCAAAAAUCCUGCUGGAACUGGACCCUGCCCAGUAAGCAUUACAGAUGAUGGCUGACUGCCUGACUCACUAGAUGAAGAUACUGAGUGACCAGAAGAACAACAACCUACUACUAGAAACACUACAACACAGACCUCAAAACAGUGUUCGUAACAGCAAACUGCAAGGCCAGCAAUGUUGUUUAGCCUGUUCCCUAGCAUGGUAUUAGCCUGGAACCACUAUAACUGUCCAGAAAAGUCCUGAGAGCAGUUAAGAAAAUUAACGUGGGCCAGAGACUACCCCAGCAAGGAGUUCAACUGUUCCCUUUAUAUUUGAGGUGGAUUGGUUAUCAAGCGUUUGGCUCUGUGGACAUGAACAAGGAUAGGGGAAGAACUGUAUUUGUCCAAAAUGGUACUGUUUUCACCUGGUAGAAUGCUAGGUACAUUUACAGAAGAUGAGCAACUUCACUGACUACAGGAAAUAAAACAUUGGCUUUUGUAUCCACAUUACACUGUAAGAAGGAAGAAAUUACCUUAUGAGGAAUUCUCAGUUCAUACAUCUGCAGAUCUCAAAGCAUCAGAGGGCAACAAGGUGAACAGAGUCCAGGCAUUUAACAAUACCCUCUUCAUGUAUCAGUCAUGUCUACCACUGCCACAAUGUACAGUGAUCAAACUUCCAUUUUUUCCACGAUAGAAGCAACCUCAACUACUCUGUGAUAGUGCAUCCAUCCCAGAUCCCUGAGGUGUUGUCACCUUUAAUUCUUCCUUUUAAGUUCCCUCCUUCCCCCAUCAGUUACACAUAUGAAGAAAAAAUAAUGA